AAAUUUUUUAUUUAACUUCAGCAAAUAUUAGAAAUAGAAAAAUGAAUUCUGCAGAAUUUCACAAAUAAAUUUUUUCGAUCUCCACUAACAAAUGUUAUCAUUCAAUGGCUAAGCAAUUAUAAUGCUAUGAACAUUCACCACAAUGAGUGUGCUGAUAUAGAAAACAGGCAGAAAGAGACAUUAAAAUAGUACUUACAACAGCAUUAUUACAACAUAUUUUCUUUAAAAUUCCAACGUGGAUUUUAUCACUUCAAAAGAUAUACAGCAUUUCCAUUAUAUUUGCAAACUUAACCUUAUACAUCUUUUAAAAUCUUGAAAAAUUUUUAAGCAAUCUAAAAAGCACUUAGCAAAGUUGAUAGGUCUACAUAAUGGAAUACUAUCCACUCCAGUAUAAAUUUUAGUUUUCGGAGAAGGUGACUGUAAACACUCAUUAUCACACGACAUGCAUAGACUCUACUGACCUUCCUUCUUCUGAAUUGUAACAUUGCUGCAAUUGUGCUUUACUGGAAGGAGGGGAAGCCGCAGGGAUCCCGGGAGGGGCGGGGAGAGGGUUUGCUUUUGAGCAUUGCACAAGAUCACUAGAUUCAGAUUAGCUAACUACCUUGAGUCAACGUGAAGCCAAGUUUCACUUGAUACUGAAAGCUCGGAUCCUGGUCACUGGGCUUAGACACAGGCUGGACGAGAGAGGAAACGAGGCUCUCGUGUGAGCUGGCUCCGGCUUUCCUUUGCUCCGUUAAGCAGGGAUCCAGUUAGUGUAAUGCACUGUUUGGCUUAUUUUUGGUAUGCAAUUAUACCAAUAGUACAUCUGAUAUUCAGAAAGACAAAAAUAGGGCAUAGUUGAAAUUUAAAGUGACAAUGAGCACACGUAUAGUGGUGUGUGGUAUCUGAGGGAACCUUUAUACACAGAAAACAACUGCUUAAUUAGUCCACCGCAGUAAGCUUGUAAAACGCAAGAAUUUGUUCCUUUUCAUCUUUUGAUUCGGGAGGUUGCUGACCAGCGAAGGGUCUUACAGGUUAAAAACUAGCAAAAGCCAUUUUGAGGAAUGGGUGUCCCGGUGGGUACAAGUGCACCCGGACUACGCAGUGGGUGUGUCACGCUAAGCGCCGGCUCCCGCGGACACCAGCGCCCGACCGGAGCCACCGCGAUCUCAGCACAACAGAGGCGCGGCCUUCCGGGCUCGGCUCGCAAGCUAUGUUACAGGAUCGAUCACGGUUUCAGACCAGUCAACACAAUAUUCAAGUAACAAGGUGUUUAAAUGGAUAAGUGGAAACAAUUUUUACCUAACACUUUACACACCUACAUAAAAUUAAAUAAAACAAACUUUUAAUGCAUAUGCAAUACAAUUUAUAUCUUUUAGGAUUUCUAAACUAAAAGUUAAACUAUCAUUUGCUUCAAUGGUACUAUAUUUUGCACAAUAACUUAUACUUAGGAGAAAUUUUCCACAAAAAUAUAUAUAUAAUUAUGACAUUCACAUUGAUCAAUUUUUAAGAAGACAAAGCUUAAGUGAACAUUGCAUCCGAAGCAGUUGUCACUGCGGACCCUUACACAUCCAAACACGACCUGCUGAUGCACCGAAGUCUUGAUAUGUAAAAAAGGGGCUUCACAUAAAUAAGAUCAAUCACUCAGCUUUUAAAGCUCAGUGAUUUCUUGCAUUUACAACAUCAUUGCAACAACAGUGUAAUGAAACAGUUUAAAACACAGUGCUACCUUAUGCUUGAGACUACAACGGAGGAGUCAGGCAAAGACAACCAUCUUUCUUCCUUCUGGCGCAUGACAACAACGCUGCCCCUUUCCCGUGUAGAGAAAGCCAGGACCAGGCUGCUGGGGUCUGCCAGGUGUACGGGCGCAGUGACUCCUCAGGACGGGGCAAGCACGAAGGGGAUGGUGCAGAGGACACACAGAGGCCUGGCACUGCUGCUGCGCCUGCCACGCUCCCCAGGAACUAGCAUCGCGCUUUCAGGCAUCGCCAGGAGGGAGCCAUUCUCCAGGAAAGCAGCCCGGGCGUGCAGAGAGGAACAGAUGUCCUGGCAGCACGAGACCCACUGCAGCAAACUGCCUGCUGCUUCCACUAAGAGGAAGGAGAAGCAAAGAGAACCUACGGCCUCGGUUCUUGCCUAGUGCCCCUGUGAGCGAUGUGCAAAACUUAUGCCACCUCCUCUCCACGUUUUUCCUGCCAUUUUCUGAUUACAUAGCAGGCUUAGGAUACAAGCAAAACCAAACCCUACGGCAUGACUAGUGUUAUUAUGCUACCCCCGUCUAGGUAGGAGCAGCAAGCUGAGACUGCCUCUCGCCUCAUCUGAUGCUGUUCUUCACACACUCUUCCCUGACCCACAGACACCCCGUGAAGGGACAAGAUGACAAAAAGUCGGGAAACUCCCGUUUACUCCCCGUGUGAAUGACCUUUCUCCAGAUUUCUAAAAACACACAAUUCCAAACAGCAUAGGUUUCUAGCUGACCCUCUUCCUAAAGAGAUAAUCAGCUAACUUAAAAGGGGGGGGGGGGGAGAAGCAAGGUGCUUGG
rnacentral:lncRNA from 1 species